rnacentral:lncRNA from 1 species
AAAAAUAAAGAAUACUAAAAAUUAUAACUAGUUUCGAAUUUGUUUUAAUCAGUUAAGGAAAAUUAAGAAUUUGAUUUAAUCAGUUAAGAAAAGUAUGUAGAAAACUUUUUGUUUUUUUUUUUAUCGACUCUGAUCAACUAAAAAUUUAUAAAAAUUUCGCUCUCAUCACGAUCAAUUCUGAAUGAAAUAAUAAAUGAGGACAAUAGUAUAAUAAAAAUUAACCCGUCGCGAAUCCGUCCCGAUCUGAUAAGAAAUGAGGCGGUAGGUGGGCAACUCUUCUCCUCCC